AUGCUCUCCUCCGGGCUCUGGCUUUCAUGUCUCCUCCCACCUCGCCCUCACUCCUCCUGGAUUGGCCGCAGGGGGGGUGUUGGGAUGCUGGGUCCGGAUGCCGGCGUUGCGCUCCGCACGCGCUCGAGCUUCGGUCCUGUCCCUCUUUGCAGACAUUUUGCCGUGAUAUUGGCGUACAUGUUGCCAAAUGCAAUGGUUUGCUCCAUGCUUCAAGCAAUGUUGCAUUACAAUCGUGCAUUUCCUCCCAAAGUCUGGUGCAUACCAGGCAAGUGGGAUGAAAAUCUUGCUCGUGAAGGGUUGAUUCUCCAUGAAUGCGUAAACAGUCUUAUGCUCAUUGCGCAAACAAAUGGAAACCCUUGCUUGUGGAGGAUUGGCUCCCCACAAAAGCAAGGGAACUCUUUCUCGUUUUGCUAA
rnacentral:rRNA from 1 species